rnacentral:antisense_RNA from 1 species
CAAAUUAGGUCACUGCGCUCCGUGAAAGCCAGUUACCACGGUUCAGAAGUUCCCCAACUAACUGAACCCUGAAAAAGCCGCCUCCCCAGGCGGUUUUUUCU